rnacentral:rRNA from 1 species
CCGGAGCUUGCUCCACCGAAAGAAAAAGAGUGGCGAACGGGUGAGUAACACGUGGGUAACCUGCCCAUCAGAAGGGGAUAACACUUGGAAACAGGUGCUAAUACCGUAUAACACUAUUUUCCGCAUGGAAGAAAGUUGAAAGGCGCUUUUGCGUCACUGAUGGAUGGACCCGCGGUGCAUUAGCUAGUUGGUGAGGUAACGGCUCACCAAGGCAACGAUGCAUAGCCGACCUGAGAGGGUGAUCGGCCACACUGGGACUGAGACACGGCCCAGACUCCUACGGGAGGCAGCAGUAGGGAAUCUUCGGCAAUGGACGAAAGUCUGACCGAGCAACGCCGCGUGAGUGAAGAAGGUUUUCGGAUCGUAAAACUCUGUUGUUAGAGAAGAACAAGGAUGAGAGUAAAAUGUUCAUCCCUUGACGGUAUCUAACCAGAAAGCCACGGCUAACUACGUGCCAGCAGCCGCGGUAAUACGUAGGUGGCAAGCGUUGUCCGGAUUUAUUGGGCGUAAAGCGAGCGCAGGCGGUUUCUUAAGUCUGAUGUGAAAGCCCCCGGCUCAACCGGGGAGGGUCAUUGGAAACUGGGAGACUUGAGUGCAGAAGAGGAGAGUGGAAUUCCAUGUGUAGCGGUGAAAUGCGUAGAUAUAUGGAGGAACACCAGUGGCGAAGGCGGCUCUCUGGUCUGUAACUGACGCUGAGGCUCGAAAGCGUGGGGAGCGAACAGGAUUAGAUACCCUGGUAGUCCACGCCGUAAACGAUGAGUGCUAAGUGUUGGAGGGUUUCCGCCCUUCAGUGCUGCAGCAAACGCAUUAAGCACUCCGCCUGGGGAGUACGACCGCAAGGUUGAAACUCAAAGGAAUUGACGGGGGCCCGCACAAGCGGUGGAGCAUGUGGUUUAAUUCGAAGCAACGCGAAGAACCUUACCAGGUCUUGACAUCCUUUGACCACUCUAGAGAUAGAGCU